CAGAGGGUGCAAGCGUUAAUCGGAAUUACUGGGCGUAAAGCGUGCGUAGUCGGUUAUUUAAGUCGGAUGUGAAAUCCCCCGGGCUCAACCUGGGAAUUGCAUUCGAUACUGGAUAGCUAGAGUUCGGCAGAGGGAAGCGGAAUUUCGGGUGUAGCGGUGAAAUGCGUAGAUAUCCGAAGGAACAUCAGUGGCGAAAGCGGCUUCCUGGACCAGAACUGACGAUCAGGCACGAAAGCGUGGGGAGCAAACAGGAUUAGAUACCCUGGUAGUCCACGCCAUAAACGAUGACAACUAGACGUUGGGGACAUAUGGUCCACAGUAUCGCAGCUAACGCGUUAAGUUGUCCGCCUGGGGAGUACGGCCGCAAGGUUG
rnacentral:rRNA from 1 species